UCCAACCUCAGUCCAAAAAGAUACGCUAUUUAUUCCUCACCUGGGUCAAGGUGCUUAUCUCUGAGCACACCUUGGAAAUUCGGUUAUUCUGAAGGUUUAAGGUCUUGAGGCCAGGCAGUUUAUCUAAUGAUGAGGGCAUCUUUGUAAUCUUCUUCCCACUCAAAGUAACAAUCUUAGUAUUUUUACCACCUUUCAGUGCCCUUACUAACAUCUUUUCAGUCAUGGCCUUAGAAAAGAAAUAGAAAAGGGAGAAGGUAAUCACUAGGGAUUAAGUUACUUGUUGUGCAUCUUUAGAACCUUUAAUGACAGAAUUAGGGUGCCAUGGAAACAAAAACAUUCUGAGAUGUACCAUGUUGAAGACGGGAGACAUCAGAUAGUUUCCUGUGUAAAAGGUCAAACAAAAUACCUCUUGGGUCACAUUCAGCCCACCAGUUCGGAAGUCUGGUGGAGCAAGAGAAAAGGAGUCAAGGAGAACAUCCUGAAAGACAGUCAAGGGAACAGGGGCAGCAAGAACAGAGCUGAGGAGGAGGAACCAGCAGAGUAGUGUGGUGAACAGCAAGAGAGAAUUUCAAGGAGGAGUGGUCUACAGUGUUAAAUGCAGCAGAAAUUUCCAGGAGGACAUAAGAACAGGAAGGUAAGGGUAACAUGGAGAAGAAGAAUCAGCAGGAAGACUGGAAGUCAUCUCUGUUCAGAGCAUUGAUAGUUUCAGCAGAGAGCUGUAAUGUGAUUCAAUAAGUUACACUAAUCAUCAUCCUUAUUCUACUGAAAGAAGACAACUACAAACUUCUUCCUGGCCAAUAUAUUAACAAAGUUCUUAAUAGUUUCUUGGUCUGUAUACUUAUAAAGAAUCUUUAUAUUCUGUAGAUUGAUACAUAAAGGCAAAACAAAACAGUGUCAGAAGAAAAAAGAAAAGCUCUCUUGGGUUCUAUUCCUCCCUUAAAUUGACCUAAAGACUUAAGGAUUUAUCCAAGGGGUUAGGAAAAUUAGAAAGCAGCCCUUUUGUGAGCAGACACAAUACUAAGUCAAUACCUCUCUGUACUCUUAAUGGUCCAUUAACCUAAUGACAACUCCUUAAGAGUCCAAUCUUAUCCUCUCAAUUGAUCUUAUGACUGUCAACAUUUAUUAAUAAGCACUUACUAUAUAGGCCAGGCAGUGUGCUAGAUAAUUUAGUAAGUCAACAAGUUGUUUCAAAGCACUUACAGACUAAAGGAAAAUAAUAAUAACAAUAAUAAUAAACUAAAUACAAAUAAUACUAAUUACUAGUGUGUGGUUACUAGAAACCAACAUGUAUGAACUGGGGUACCCAGCCCCAGCCAGGUGGGAGUUGGUGCUGAUGAAAUGGAGACCAGGACAGUAAGCUAGGUGAAAUAGGUUGGGUGAAGUUCUCAACUCCCAAUGGCAGCUCAAAGGCCUUCAAGUAGGAAGGGUGGUGAACAAGAAAUGAUAAUUCCUACAACUUGCUUUAAAAAAAAAAAAAAAAUCAAAACCCUUUGAGUUAUAUUUUUUCUGCAAGAUGGAAAAUGGUUUUAAAGAAGAUCUAAGACAGGAAAGAAUCAGUAUGUGAAAACAUAUGGAAAGGAAGAAAAAAUCACACUCAUUUGUUCAAUAACAGUAAAAAUAUGAUGAAAUUACCAAUUAAAUUCUCAGAAACACAACAGAUCUGCUCCUUCAGCUAGUUCAUGACACCUGGACCAAAACAAUACAUUAACAAUCCUGUACCAGCAUUAGUUUGUGCAAAUUUCCUUCUUCAACACCCAUGAGUCUUAGAAUAUUCUUCAAUUUCAUUUACCCUAAGUAACCUUCAUUAUUCUAAAAGGUUUAAAGCUUCAACCUGAUUUCUAAGAGCCAUGGCUUAAAUGCCUAUCUCCUUAUCUUCCUCUAUUUUGUCUGAGACAUAGUGCUAUGUUUAUAUAUUUAUUC